CAGUGGCCGCGGGAAUACGGAGGGUGCAAGCGUUAAUCGGAAUUACUGGGCGUAAAGCGCACGCAGGCGGUUUGUUAAGUCAGAUGAGAAAUCCCCGAGCUUAACUUGGGAACUGCAUUUGAAACUGGCAAGCUAGAGUCUUGUAGAGGGGGGUAGAAUUCCAGGUGUAGCGGUGAAAUGCGUAGAGAUCUGGAGGAAUACCGGUGGCGAAGGCGGCCCCCUGGACAGAGACUGACGCUCAGGUGCGAAAGCGUGGGGAGCAAACAGGAUUAGAUACCCGAGUAGUCCCUGUCUCUUAUAC
rnacentral:rRNA from 1 species